CCAGACGGCCGGAUGGCCGCUGCCGCCGGCGUUCGCCACGGGCAGAGGAAAGUCCGGGCUCCACGGAGACAGGGUGCCGGCUAACCGCCGGCGGGGGCGACCCCAGGGAAAGUGCCACAGAAAACAAACCGCCCUGCCGCUGCCAAACGGGCCGGCGGCUGGGGCAAGGGUGAAACGGUGCGGUAAGAGCGCACCGCGCUGCCGGUAACGGCGGCGGCAGGGCAAACCCCACCCGGAGCAAGACCAGAUAGGGGCGGCGCGCCGGCCCGGCGACGGCAGUCGCCGGCCGGCAGGCGGGUUUCCGGGCCGAGCCGCGCGGGUAGGUUGCUAGAGGCGUCCGGCAACGGGCGUCCCAGAGGAAUGGUCAUCCAGCACCCGCGAACGCGGCCGUGGGUGCACGACAGAACCCGGCUUACAGGCCGUCUGGUGCC
rnacentral:RNase_P_RNA from 1 species